rnacentral:rRNA from 1 species
UGGGGAAUCUUAGACAAUGGGGGAAACCCUGAUCUAGCCAUGCCGCGUGAGCGAUGAAGGCCUUAGGGUUGUAAAGCUCUUUCAGCUGGGAAGAUAAUGACGGUACCAGCAGAAGAAGCCCCGGCUAACUCCGUGCCAGCAGCCGCGGUAAUACGGAGGGGGCUAGCGUUGUUCGGAAUUACUGGGCGUAAAGCGCACGUAGGCGGAUUAGUCAGUCAGAGGUGAAAUCCCAGGGCUCAACCCUGGAACUGCCUUUGAUACUGCUAGUCUUGAGGUCGAGAGAGGUGAGUGGAAUUCCGAGUGUAGAGGUGAAAUUCGUAGAUAUUCGGAUGAACACCAGUGGCGAAGGCGGCUCACUGGCUCGAUACUGACGCUGAGGUGCGAAAGCGUGGGGAGCAAAACAGGAUUAGAUACCCUGGUAGUCCACGCCGUAAACGAUGAAUGCCAGUCGUCGGGUUGCAUGCAAUUCGGUGACACACCUAACGGAUUAAAGCAUUCCGCCUGGGGAGUACGGUCGCAAGAUUAAAACUCAAAGGAAUUGACGGGGUCAUAGCUGUUUCC